CAGCGCCGCUUUAAAUCGAACACACCUCCGUUGUUUCGAAGGGAUGGGACGUUUUCAUAUUUGGAUUAAAGAUUACGAAGGCAAGCAUUUUUUUAAUAGAUCGAUUUGCACGGAUGUGCUGUUCACCACAAAAAUGUGAGCUAACCGGGGUAUUUCUGUUUUUAAUUAAACGCCGUCGGCUUGGGUAUUAACAGCGAAAAACGCUGACGAUAUUUGCUAAACGAAUGCUGGCUGUAAUGCUGCAGUGAAUACAGUAACAGGUGGGUGAGACCCUCGGACCAACCCCUCUAUAGCGUUCUUUCUGUUUGCACAGGCCCUUCAAAACUUUCUUGGUAAUGAGGACGGGAGUUAUAGCAGUUCACCGUAUUUGGACAAGGUUCCUCAGAGCAUUUGACGACUCUUGGCAUGUUGAAAUCAUAAACGAGGUGCAGAAUAUAGAGAAAGCCCACAUCAAAGCCGGCCUUGAACACGAGGCUGAG